AAUGGGUCAGCGACUUAUAUUCUGUAGCAAGGUUAACCGAAUAGGGGAGCCGAAGGGAAACCGAGUCUUAACUGGGCGUUAAGUUGCAGGGUAUAGACCCGAAACCCGGUGAUCUAGCCAUGGGCAGGUUGAAGGUUGGGUAACACUAACUGGAGGACCGAACCGACUAAUGUUGAAAAAUUAGCGGAUGACUUGUGGCUGGGGGUGAAAGGCCAAUCAAACCGGGAGAUAGCUGGUUCUCCCCGAAAGCUAUUUAGGUAGCGCCUCGUGAAUUCAUCUCCGGGGGUAGAGCACUGUUUCGGCAAGGGGGUCAUCCCGACUUACCAACCCGAUGCAAACUACGAAUACCGGAGAAUGUUAUCACGGGAGACACACGGCGGGUGCUAACGUCCGUCGUGAAGAGGGAAACAACCCAGACCGCCAGCUAAGGUCCCAAAGUCAUGGUUAAGUGGGAAACGAUGUGGGAAGGCCCAGACAGCCAGGAUGUUGGCUUAGAAGCAGCCAUCAUUUAAAGAAAGCGUAAUAGCUCACUGGUCGAGUCGGCCUGCGCGGAAGAUGUAACGGGGCUAAACCAUGCACCGAAGCUGCGGCAGCGACGCUGAUGCGUUGUUGGGUAGGGGAGCGUUCUGUAAGCCUGCGAAGGUGUGCUGUGAGG
rnacentral:rRNA from 1 species